UACAGAGGUCUCAAGCGUUGUUCGGAUUCAUUGGGCGUAAAGGGCGCGUAGGCGGCGGGGUAAGUCGGGUGUGAAAUCCCACGGCUCAACCGUGGAAGUGCACUCGAAACUGCGCAGCUAGAGUCCUGGAGAGGAAGGUGGAAUGCUUGGUGUAGAGGUGAAAUUCGUAGAUAUCAAGCGGAACACCGGUGGCGAAGGCGGCCUUCUGGACAGUGACUGACGCUGAGAUGCGAAAGCGUGGGGAGCAAACAGG
rnacentral:rRNA from 1 species